UAGAGAAAAACGGACUGUGCCAUGGUAUAACAUUAAUACUCACUCUCUCAAGAAAGUAACUCAUAGUCUUGAACGCAAAUGGAGAAAAACUAACUUGGAAGUUUUUAGAAUUGCAUGGAAAAAUAGUAUGUCCAGCUAUAGACAGGCUCUAAAAACUGCUAGGGCAGAGCAUAAACACAAACUCAUUGAAAACAAUCCAAGGUUUUUAUUUAGCACAGUGGCUAUAUUAACAAAUUACCAGACGCCACCUGAUUCAAAUAUUCCACCAACAUUAAAUAGUAAUGACUUUAUGAAUUUCUUCACUGAUAAAAUAGACAACAUUAGAAAUACAAUACCGAAUGUAGAUUCUACAGCGUCUAACACUUCAGUUACAUCCAUCGCACCCAAAGAUAAACUGCAGUGCUUUACAACAAUAGGACAGGAAGAGCUAAAUAAACUUAUCACUGUAUCUAAACCAACAACAUGUUUAUUAGAUCUUGUUCCCACUAAAUUACUGAAAGAGUUGUUACCUGUAGCCGAAGAACCGCUUCUCAAUAAUAUUAACUCGUCGUUAUCUGUAGGUCAUGUCCCAAAACCAUUCAAGCUGGCGGUUAUCAAGCAUCUUAUUAAGAAACCAAAACUAGAUCCUAGUGUACUGGCAAAUGAUAUGCCUAUUUCAAAUCUUCCAUUUAUGUCUAAAAUUUUAGAAAAAGUUGUGUCUGCUCAAUUGAGCACUUUCCUGCACAAAAAUGAUCUGUAUGAAGAAUUUCAGUCAGGUUUCAGGCCCCACCAUAGCACAGAAACUGCACUUGUUAAAAUUACAAAUGACCUGCUUCUUGCGUCAGAUUAAGGCUGCAUCUCAUUUCUAGUCUUACUUGAUCUUAGUGCUACGUUCGACACCAUAGAUCAUGACAUACUCAUACAGGGAGUGCAGAAUUAUUAGGCAAGUUGUAUUUUUGAGGAAUAAUUUUAUUAUUGAACAACAACAAUUUUCUCAAUGAUUCCAAAAACUCAAUAUCAAAGCUGAAUAUUUUUGGAAGUAGUUUUUAGUUUGUUUUUAGUUGUA
rnacentral:lncRNA from 1 species